CCAACCUGACUGUUAUUGUAACUAUUGCAUUGUCCUGCCAUCAUACAGAUUCAUUUUGAUUCUGUUAGCCUAACUAAAAUCUGUGAUACGAGCACGGAGUGAGUCUGUGCUGAGAUCACGGAUAACUCUAACGCAAGUCAAUGACACUCUUCUUCCGUGGUCCACACACGGAAACCCAGUCUCACGGCAGUUCGUGAUUUUGUCACGUAAUUUAAUCUAUUUAUUCGUGGCAGGCACACGUUUAUUUCCUUAUUUUCAUGAUUGCAGCACGUUUUUUUAAACUAAUGCAUUUCAACUGGAGGCAUCUUUCGUGCAUCAGCACAAUAUUUUCUGAUUAAUUAUUAUUAUUAUUUAAUUUUUCACAGGACAACAGAAGAAACUCACUGAAACUUGAAAAAAAAAAUCGGAGCUUAACUUACUGUACAAAACUGAGCAACAUACUGUAUUGCUGGUGACAAAAACACAUUAAAACUUUUUUAGCUGUAAAAUGCGCAAUGGUUCUUUUUUUACUUUUUCAUUGAUUUUUAUUUUUUUCAUAGGCCUAGAUUUAAUUUUUUUUUAUUACAGAAUUCAAUAUCAAGUCCUUGACACAUAACUGUAACACAUUUUCACAUUAAGAAACAAUUUAGUUUAAAUAAAAAGAACAAAAAAUAUCUAAAAAUAAAUAAAUUAUUUAUUAGCGAUAGGCCUACAGAUUUAUUUAUUUUUUAAUUUAUUUUUUAUUUUUUUACUUUAGACUCUAAAGUUAAAAGUUUUUAUUAAGGCUAUUGUAAAGGCUUCUUAAAAAUGAUGUCGCUGAUGAGCCUCUGAUCGCUGUCAGAUUCUGUGAUAUGAAUGUCCGCUAAUGGGUUUAGAAUGAGCCCCGCUCUGCCCGUGUUCUGGCUUACUGUAAUAUUUCACCUGUAAUAAGACCGAAAUAAUAUAAUUAAAAUAAAGAAAUGAAUGAAUACAUGAUAACAUCUAAAUAAAUGUUGAUAGAUUUAGCGUUAUAGUUUUAAAAAUAUUAAUAAACAGCAAAUCAACACAGAAAGACCUAAAUAAUAAUAAUACAUAAUUAAUAAACAGCGCCGCCCCUCCCACUACGCGCAUCACGCGCUGUGCGUCAACCCCAAAGCGUCAAAAACUGAAGCGUGGUCAAGCGCCUCUAGCGUCACUGACAUGAGAUGUUUAUCGCUUUGAAAUCACGUUCAAGAAGUCUCAUUCAGCACACAUCGCGAUACUUUCCAUCAGUUUGCAAGAGCCGCAGGUUGGGUGAGUUAUACAGUCUAUGCUGAAAAGACGUAAAGUAAGCAGUCACCCCAGUGGUGUUUGUGGAGAGGUAUUCCUUCAGAAAUGGAGAAGACAGAAAGCUGCAGAGGCAGGAUUGUUUGCAGAUAAUGCUGUUCUUCUUUUUCAGAAGUUUUUGGUGGGCCAACCCUCACAAACCUUCCUAAAAACUAAAAGAGCUAUUACUGAGUCUCAGCGACUCUUGCCACGAUCAGCUCUUCCCAGAAGAGAAGGAAGACCAAGGAAAUGAUUUGCUCAGGAUGAGAAAUGAAGAUGGUCAUCUUGUGCUCAAGCAAACAGAAGUCCUCUGAUGAUCUCAUCAACCAAAUGAGGGGUUUUGACCAAGGGAUGCUCUUGAAAGGAGUGAAAGAAGAGGAUGUGGUAAAUUGUCUUCAGAGAAAAAGCUUCUCAAAAGAUCUUAAAACAGCUUGAAGAAUGGUCUGGGAUCUUAGGACUGAGAGAUCUCACUGGCACCCAGUUAACCUCCAUAGAGAACAUUUAUCAGAAGCGCUGUCUGGGUAGGCCAGAAAUAUCAUCAAGGAUGCCUCUCACCCUAACCAUGGACUUUUCACCCUCCUUCCAUCCGGCAGGCAUUACAGGAGCCUACGCUCUCGAACUAGUAGACUCAGGAAGAGCUUCUUCCCCGAGGCUGUGACACUCCUGAACACCACACCACCAAUCUAACCUGCACCUGCUCUUUUACUGCACUGGUCACAGUACUUUACAUACAUGUAUUGCACUACUCAUAUUUUGCACAGACUGCACAUGGUUAAAUCCAUUACACUAUAAACUGUCUAAAGCUGUUACUGUACAAGCACAGUAAACUAUUUCUACAAUAAAUAUAAUUGCACUACUAUUAUUUUGCAUAUAAUAAAUUGUUAAACUAUACUUUUGCACACUCAUUCAACUGUAUUUAUUACCACUGUUCUCAAGUUCCUGCUAUUCAUAAUGUAUAUAUAAUUCUUCUUUGCUCUGUUCAUAAUGUACAUACAAUCCCUACAUUACAUUCAUAUUUAUAUUCUGUAUAUACUCUGAUCAAUAUUGUAUAUAGCAACUCCACUGUAAAUUCUGUAUAUCAUAGCUUUACUUACUCUGCACUUUUAUGUAUAUAAAACACUAUAUUCUUGCACUUCUGGUUAGAUGCUAACUGCAUUUCAUUAGCUCUGUACUUGUACUCUGCAUAAUGACAAUAAAGUUGAAUCUAAUCUAAUCUAAUCUUCUGGCUGAGAACAAGCUACACCACAUCAGUGCUGGAUAUCAACCAAAAGCUGUUUCCAGACACGAGAGAAGAUCACGAUGAAACCAGUUUAGAUGUGUUGAUAAGGAAUCAUUAUUUUCUGAAACAGUAUCAAAUGUCUUAUAUGUAUCACAUGAUCUGUAUCACAGUUGACUGGAUGGGACUGUGACUUUUAAGGACAUUUCAUCACUCAUCUGUGUGAACUGAUUAAUAUAUGAGGUUAAUGUAUUUUUGAUUAUGAAUAAUUAUUUUCCUUGAAUCUUAUUUGUCUUGAUGCUACUUUAUCAUCUUUAUAGUCUAUGCUUCAAUAAAAUGAAUAUGACGAA